rnacentral:rRNA from 1 species
UACGGGGGGAGCAAGCGUUGUUCGGAUUUACUGGGCGUAAAGGGCGCGUAGGCGGCCACCGCAAGUCGACUGUGAAAUCUCCGGGCUUAACCCGGAAAGGUCAGCCGAUACUGCGGGGCUAGAGUGCAGAAGGGGCAACUGGAAUUCUCGGUGUAGCGGUGAAAUGCGUAGAUAUCGAGAGGAACACCAGCGGCGAAGGCGGGUUGCUGGGCUGACACUGACGCUGAGGCGCGAAAGCGUGGGGAGCAAACAGG